AGGGGUGUGGCUCAGUGGUAGAGCUGCUUGCUUGGUAUGCAUGAGGUUCUGGGUUCAAUACUCAGCAUCACAC
rnacentral:tRNA from 1 species